UACGUAGGGGGCAAGCGUUGUUCGGAAUUACUGGGCGUAAAGCGUGCGCAGGCGGCUUUGCAAGACAGAUGUGAAAUCCCCGGGCUUAACCUGGGAACUGCAUUUGUGACUGCAUGGCUGGAGUGCGGCAGAGGGGGAUGGAAUUCCGCGUGUAGCAGUGAAAUGCGUAGAUAUGCGGAGGAACACCGAUGGCGAAGGCAAUCCCCUGGGCCUGCACUGACGCUCAUGCACGAAAGCGUGGGGAGCAAACAGG
rnacentral:rRNA from 1 species